AGAGUUUGAUCCUGGCUCAGGAUAAACGCUGGCGGCGUGCCUAACACAUGCAAGUCGAACGCUCUCUGGCAACAGAGGGAGUGGCGGACGGGUGAGUAACACAUGGGUGACCUAUCUUUCAGUGAGGAAUACCGGCGAGAAAUCGCCGACAAUACCGCAUAGGCUCUCUCUCCUCGAAGAGGGAAAGCAAAGUCGCAAGACGCUGGAAGCUGGGCCCGUGGCCGAUUAGUUAGUUGGUGGGGUAAGAGCUCACCAAGGCGACGAUCGGUAGCUGGUCUGAGAGGAUGGUCAGCCACACUGGGAUUGAGAACGGCCCAGACUCCUACGGGGGGCAGCAGUGAGGGAUCUUCGGCAAUGGGGGCAACCCUGACCGAGCAACGCCGCGUGCGGGACGACGCCUUUCGGGGUGUAAACCGCUUUUCUGGGGGACGAGGGAGUACGGACGGUACCCCAGGAAGAAGUCUCGGCUAACUACGUGCCAGCAGCCGCGGUAAUUC
rnacentral:rRNA from 1 species